rnacentral:rRNA from 1 species
UACGAACUGUGCGAACGUUAUUCGGAAUCACUGGGCUUACAGGGUGCGUAGGCGGCUAUUCAGGUCAGGUGUGAAAGCCCUCGGCUCAACCGAGGAACUGCGCUCAAAACUACUAGACUCGAGGGAGAUAGAGGAAAGCGGAACUGAUGGUGGAGCGGUGAAAUGCGUUGAUAUCAUCAGGAACACCGGUGGCGAAGGCGGCUUUCUGGGUCUUACCUGACGCUGAGGAACGAAAGCCAGGGGAGCGAACGGG